GGCACUUGAAUGCCGCCUUGGCUUGGAAAGCUCUGUAACCUGAUGUUCAUAAAAUGGGGGAAGAAAACAGCGGGGGAAGGUGUUUCUUGUUCUGGUUGAAUUGCUUUUCAUGCUCAUUUUUUCCUCGUUUUUUCCCCUUCUUGAUGUUCGUUGGGGGGGGGGGGGGAUUUGGAGAACUUUGGAAGAAGAGGAAGAAAUGUAUUGUAUUGCAAUAGCUGCUCCUGGGAGCCUGUCAAUGGAGCCUCGUGCUCGGCGCUGUACAUAUCACAAAGUGUUUGUUUUGUUGCGUCGAAGAGGAGACGGACGGCUGCGGUUGCAGUGGAAAGAGAAAAGCAGGCACUCAACCUUGAGCUCAGCCGCCCCCAGCCCAGCGGAGCCUGGCCCGGGAAGACCGUGACCCUGCAAGGGAAGCAGGCUACCAACAUGCCGAAUACAGCCAAGCCAGCCGGGCCGGCGAUUGCUGUGCAGUGCAGCCAAGGACCCCGGGACAGGCAGAGGCCCUGGCUAAAGCAGAUGGCCCUCGGCAAAGAAGAAACGUGCCUAGGGGGGAGGAUUAACCCCAUUGCUCCCCUGGCCCCCGCAUGUGUGGGGCGAACACGGGCGCAGGGUGCAAUUCGGGCUCCCUGGGAACCCAUGGCAGUGAUUUCGGCUGCAGGGGCAGAGCGGGGAGUCGCCCUCCAGGCCAGGAGCAGCGUGUCCCUGAUGGAGUUCAAAGGAAGCAUUUGUCCUCCUCUGGUCUCCGUCUUCCCCCGCCCACCAGGCUCUCCCAGCCGGUCCCCAUUUCCCAAGCCCUGGUGUCUGCUUCAGGGCUCCCCCUGCGAGGGCCGGUGUUGCAUUCAGGGAAUGGGUGCGGGCUGAUUUACCUCUGUCCGUUUCCCUCCUAGACCGUGGAUUCUGGAAGGGGAGGAAGAAUAAUGCCAUUCUCUUCUCGUCAAUUGCAUUUACACAAUGCCCCCCCCGCCCCCAUUGUAAUACCCCCUUGUGGCACAGUGAAAAGGGAAGCCCCUCUUUCCUGGGCGGCUUUAGCUUGGCUGGGAGGCCGUUUCUGCGCUCCAGCUAGAGGGAAAAGCUCCCCCUUUGGACCCCCUCUGCAAUAAACUUCCACAAACCACGGGGUUGUUUUGCUGUUUUUCCCCUUUUCAAAAAAGUCCUGAUUUUUCAGACGACAUGUUCUCCUUUUGACCGCAAUCCUCUCUGUGCCUGUCAUAUUCAAUAUGGAACAAUGCAAGCGCGUCCCAUACGCAUCGGCUCCAUAUACUGUGAGAAGGAGACAGAGAUUGUAACCGAGCACACACCGCCAGCUUGCGUGGGACGUAUGCCUGUGGACGAGACAGCCUGUUAUAAUAUCAACUGUGUAGAUUAGCUAAACGGGGAGGCUAAUUACGUGCCAGUGAUCGGAAGAAAAAAUGGCCUGACUGACUAAAAGGGGAGACGUGGGAAAGAAAAGCCAAAAAUCUCAUCUUCCUCGUCUCCAAGAUCCGGUGGAGCCGGGCCGGUGAGACACAGAGCAGAAGCUGGCUCGGUUAUUUGGCUUCUGGUCAUUAAACCAAAAAAGAGCGUGGAAUUAAAACACAAGCCCAGGGAAAGCCAUAAGGGGACCCUCACCCCAGCUCUUCCAGCCAAAUCCAGGAGAUCCUUGCCAAAGGGAGAGCUGCCAGACCCUUCCCUCCCCGCUGGGAGCUCUGGGUGCCUUCCUGGGCUGGGAUGAAGCUUUAA